UACGUAGGGGGCAAGCGUUAUCCGGAUUUACUGGGUGUAAAGGGAGCGUAGACGGCCAGACAAGUCUGAAGUGAAAAUCCAGCGCUUAACGUUGGAAGUGCUUUGGAAACUGCCGGGCUAGAGUGCAGGAGGGGCAGGCGGAAUUCCUAGUGUAGCGGUGAAGUGCGUAGAUAUUAGGAGGAACACCAGUGGCGAAGGCGGCCUGCUGGACUGCAACUGACGUUGAGGCUCGAAGGCGUGGGGAGCAAACAGG
rnacentral:rRNA from 1 species